rnacentral:rRNA from 1 species
GGGUUGUGAGGUUAAGCGACUAAGCGUACACGGUGGAUGCCCAGGCAGUCAGAGGCGAUGAAGGGCGUGCUAAUCUGCGAUAAGC